CGGGCAUAAGUCCUUCUUCAGGAACUGAUAAUAUUGUACAAGAUGUAACAUUGAGCAUAAGCAAGGAAGUAAUUUCUUCAGGAAAUUUGAUACUUUUUGGCAAGCAGAUACCACUCAUGAUCCUGGCACCAGGGAGGCAAUAUACCAUACUCAAGUAGAAAUUGAGACUUGCUUCAGAAAUUCCCCACAUUCCAUUCUUCAUGGUCUUAAUUAUGCCAAAUAAAUCCAGUGAGAUUUCAGGAGAAACUUCUUUAUUCAGAGACUGGUUGGAAUGUGGAACUUGUCACCAGAUGAAGUCGCUGAAAAUGUGUUGCUGGAAAAG